UACUGGGCCCAGUCCCAGGACUAUCCAAGUGUGAAGCCAACACCUUUUCACAUCAACUCCAAAGAAGGUUUGAUGCUGACAUUUUAUGAUUUCACAACUUGGAUCCUCUGUCCUCUGAUACUGAAUCAGAUAGUAGUUUAUGGAGCUGAGCAGAGAGCCAGCUGGUCCUGGGCACAGAGGAGGCUGUGUUCCAUGCUGAAGACAAGAAUGUAUGGUGGAGGUACCAUCCUAACUAUCUGGGAAGGGAGCUUCGUGGCUACAUGGGAGUUAUCAUCUACCAGUGCCGGCUGCAUCCUGGCUGUGCCCACCUCUGGGCUCUGAAUCUCUGCACCUCAGUACCCCCAACCCCAACACGACUGUGAUGUUAGGCAUAUAUUAGGCAUGUGAAGAUGAGAAAGAGAAGAUAUAGCUCCCAUGUUUAUCUCCAUGAGAAGAUAAGCCAUAGGGAGAGAGAAAGACUGCUGUGCAUGAGAGGGAGUGU
rnacentral:lncRNA from 1 species